GUCCAGUUUUCCCAGGAAU
rnacentral:ncRNA from 3 species